UUCUACCGGCAACGUAUGGUGAGGGGGAAAAUAUUCUCCUUUGGAGAGUAAAAACCCAUCUCCCUAUGAUUCCCACUUACCCGUUCCUCUUACUUAAACCACCACCAACAAGAAGAAACAUCUUUUAAAAGAGAGAAAGGCUGCUCCUCUGGGGAUUUCUCAGCUAACUCUCUGCCAGUCAUUGCAAACAAGAUGUAUGGACUAAACAGGGAGAUGGUCCCAAGAAUCUGAGCCUGUCUGAGAGAAGUAUUAUAUGUCAUUACCGAAGUGAAUCAGGAGGAUCUGAAGGAUUUUUUACUCAGUGCUCUAAGGAUUCAUGUGUGCAGGGCCCAGCCAGCACGGUUUGCCGAGAGAAUGAGACACCACAGGUGAGCAUCACUGGUUCAAAGCCUGGAGGGAGAAAGAGAAAGAUGCUGGGCAGCCUUGCCUGGAAAGGCCUGGAAAGCCCCAGCCCCAAGAGAGCACUUUAAGCAUAGAGGCAUCUGGAGACGGGUGAC